UGUGUGUGAGUCAUUGAUCGAGGGGUAAACAUUGCCCAAGAAAAUGGCGCUAACCUGUUCGGUGUAGCACCCUGGGAUCUUUUGCAAUAUUCUGGGUAGACUCCCUCUGCUGGUACAUGUGCAUGUUGAUGUCUGAAGGGGACAACUCACACCCUGCCGUUUUCGAAAUGCUGGCGCACAUGCAUGGGAACUAAGUGUCGCUUCCCUUCCCCCAGAAAAUGGACGAGAAUCGAGACGGCAUUGUGACAAUUGACGAAUUCGUGCGGAACUGCCAGAAGGAUGAAAACAUAAUGCACUCGAUGCAGCUCUUUGAGAACGUCAUCUAGCGCACAGUCCGAUCCUACGCCGCAGAGAGGCCGGCCGGGGGGGGGAGUGGGAUUUGGGGGGUGUGGGGGUUGGCGCGGGAGACCAUACAUAUGAGUCGAUCGCUUGCCACCUCUCACCAAAUGAACAAAAGAACUGAAAAAUCUUCACCGGGUUUAUCCUGAACAAGGGAACAUCUUACACGCAAAGGAUGACACAACAGGCGAAUUCAAUGGCAUCCUCAUGGACUGGCAAAGCUUUGACCCAUUUGGAGUAAGGAUGCGCAUUGUUUUCCCGGUCGAACCCAGGCAGCGACGACAACAGUCCAUCGUUUUGGAGGGGCCAAGGUAGGGGAUUUCAGGAAGGUCCCUGGUAAAAGGAUCGACAGUUAACUGCCGCCGCUUGGAACUUUCCUCUGGAUAAAGCACCGUGGCUGACUGUAGGUGGCAGCAUCCUGCUUGUAGAUAUCACCCGAUGCCUCCUUUUACAUGUGGGUUACCCGCCUGGUUCCUGGUCUCGGGUUGAGGGAUUGACGAUUUAAAAAGGGCGUCGGUGAUUUGUGUUCCAUCUGAUUAAAGCAACAAAUGUGUUUUUGCGACACUACGGACCUGACCCCCAGCGAUCAGACUGCCCAACAGAAAAGUCGACGCCUCUCGAGCGAAAUGCCGUGGAAUUCAGGGACUGAGCUCGACUCCACUGUAGACACUUUGAGCCUGCCCCUGAAUUUUGCCAAGUUUUCACUGACUUUUCUGAUUUGAGAUGCACCCCUCCCCGCCCCCCGCUCCCCACUCUAAACUUCAGAAGCAACUGUUCCCUGGGAUUCAGGAACCGUGUUCGAGUCCCGAAAAUGCAGGAGGAGAGAUUGACGAAGAUUUUCGGGUACUAAAUAAAAAAAGACAAUAACAACUCUCUCAGACCACAGGAGAUCUCCCUCCUGUUUCAAAACUGUGCCCCUGCAGAUUACGGUUGCUUUUGGAAACAAAUCGCUCCGACAGUCGGCCUCCUGAGAGUAGCAGCCAUACCACACCACCUACCCGCUCCCCACCCACCCCCCCCCCCCGGAUACCAAAAGAUUUCACCGUUCAGUGAUGGGACUGUGGAAGGCAGAGCAAAUAUUUUAUGUCAAAGACACACAACGCUCAGUGCUACUACGUGCGUGUUAGACCCUGAUGCCAUUUUGAUGGCAGGCAGUGUAGAGGAAGCUUUACUCUGUAUCUAACUCUGUGCUGUCCCUGUCCUGGGAAUGUUUGAUGGGGACAGUGUAGAGGGAGGUUUACUCUGUAUCUAACCCCGUGCUGUCCCUGUCCUGGGUGUGUUUGAUGGGGGACAGUGUAGAGGGAGCUUUACACUGUAUCUAACCCCGUGCUGUCCCUGUCUUGGGAGUGUUUGAUGGGGACAAUGUAAAGAAAGCUUUACUCUGUAUCUAACCCCGUGCUGUCCCUGUCCUGGGAGUGUUUGAUGGGGACAAUGUAAAGGAAGCUUUACUCUGUAUCUAACCUCAUGCUGUCCCCAUCCCAGGAGUGUUUGAUGGGGACAGUGUAGAGAGAGCUUUACUCUGUAUCUAACCCCGUGCUGUCCAUAUACUGGGAGUGUUUGAUGGUGGGACAGUGUAGAGGGAGCUUUACUCUUAGUUUAAAAGUGUCGAAGGAAUGUUGCAUGUGUUAAGACCAGCUGUGGGAGUCUGUCUGUCAGUAUUAAUAGCCCUUACUGUAAAACCACUGUGUUUGAUCAGGCUGACGAUAAAAUAGAAACAGACUCUUAUUCCUAGACCCUGUGCGAGAUUCCUGUGUUCAUGACGAUCCGAACUCAUUUCCAUCAGUAAGAUCCUCGUUGGGGAGGCAGAAGUCAGUAUCCGGUUUCAUUCACUGGAUCGUUGCAUUUAUCAGGACAAGUCUGAUUGAAAAGCAAAUUCCAGCGCUUUCCCCCUGGAUCCGAGUGACCACAUGUUCGGAAAGGAACUGGUUCUACCAGGCUUUCUGUGUGACUUUGUGAAUUAAUAAACACGAGUGUCAUUAAUAACACCA